AUUGAACGCUGGCGGUAUGCUUAACACAUGCAAGUCGAACGGCAGCACGGUAGAGCUUGCUCUAUGGGUGGCGAGUGGCGGACGGGUGAGUAAUGCAUCGGGACCUACCCAGACGUGGGGGAUAACGUAGGGAAACUUACGCUAAUACCGCAUACGUCCUAAGGGAGAAAGCGGGGGAUCGCAAGACCUCGCGCGGUUGGAUGGACCGAUGUGCGAUUAGCUAGUUGGUAAGGUAAUGGCUUACCAAGGCGACGAUCGCUAGCUGGUCUGAGAGGAUGAUCAGCCACACUGGGACUGAGACACGGCCCAGACUCCUACGGGAGGCAGCAGUGGGGAAUAUUGGACAAUGGGCGCAAGCCUGAUCCAGCAAUACCGCGUGUGUGAAGAAGGCCCUCGGGUUGUAAAGCACUAUUAUCAGGAACGAAAUCUGCAAGGUUAAUACCCGUGCAGUCUGACGGUACCUGAGGAAUAAGCACCGGCUAACUCCGUGCCAGCCGCCGCUGUAA
rnacentral:rRNA from 1 species